GGGGGGGGGGGCAUGCCCGGCCCAGCCACGUCGCCACUGGUUGGUACAAAAACAGGCGGCUUACGAUAAAUAUCCCUCCGUGCAUGUACACUAUAUAUAAUAGUGCGGUGUCAAUAUUGCAAAACAAAUAAUAAUAAAGACUCCCAGCCAUGCAAUAUAUAAAAUUUUUAUGAUAUUUUCUAAAAAUUCCAAUGCUGUAUCCAGCAUAAAUAUACCAUUCAGGGCACUAUGAAAAAAGUUAUUUGUUGUCUUCCUUUAACCCAGUUUUACUAAGAUGUUUAACAACGUCAACCCAAUUCCAGCCGCGUUCUCGUUCUCCUUUACAAUUUGUUCGCUCUGCUAUUUUUCUUUUUUGUUGUUUUGUUAACUGGACUUUCUUUUCCUUUGUUGGUUUAUUAUUAACUUCACGACGGUCUGUCGAUGUGAGGAGAGCUUCUUCUGUCUAAGAAAAAUAUUAUAUUUUUUAGCCACACAUUAUCGAUCAUAACUGGAUACUACAGUUAUGACACAAACAAUUUUAAACUAUGAUAGGUCAGAAUGAUGAUAUGGACUUGAAUAACUUAGAUUCUGCACUUCACUUGGUGGAAUUAAUAUUAGGAUGUUAGGGUUUGUAAUCCAAGUGAGAAUAUAUACAUUUUAAGACCUAACCA